rnacentral:tRNA from 1 species
GCUUUUAAAGGAUAACAGCUCCUCCGUUGGUCUUAGGA